ACGAACGCUGGCGGCGUGGAUAAGACAUGCAAGUCGAACGAGAGAAUUGCUAGCUUGCUAAUAAUUCUCUAGUGGCGCACGGGUGAGUAACACGUGAGUAACCUGCCCCCGAGAGCGGGAUAGCCCUGGGAAACUGGGAUUAAUACCGCAUAGUAUCGAAAGAUUAAAGCAGCAAUGCGCUUGGGGAUGGGCUCGCGGCCUAUUAGUUAGUUGGUGAGGUAACGGCUCACCAAGGCGAUGACGGGUAGCCGGUCUGAGAGGAUGUCCGGCCACACUGGAACUGAGACACGGUCCAGACACCUACGGGUGGCAGCAGUCGAGAAUCAUUCACAAUGGGGGAAACCCUGAUGGUGCGACGCCGCGUGGGGGAAUGAAGGUCUUCGGAUUGUAAACCCCUGUCAUGUGGGAGCAAAUUAAAAAGAUAGUACCACAAGAGGAAGAGACGGCUAACUCUGUGCCAGCAGCCGCGGUAAUACAGAGGUCUCAAGCGUUGUUCGGAAUCACUGGGCGUAAAGCGUGCGUAGGCUGUUUCGUAAGUCGUGUGUGAAAGGCGCGGGCUCAACCCGCGGACGGCACAUGAUACUGCGAGACUAGAGUAAUGGAGGGGGAACCGGAAUUCUCGGUGUAGCAGUGAAAUGCGUAGAUAUCGAGAGGAACGCUCGUGGCGAAGGCGGGUUCCUGGACAUUAACUGACGCUGAGGCACGAAGGCCAGGGGAGCGAAAGGGAUUAGAUACCCCUGUAGUCCUGGCAGUAAACGGUGCACGCUUGGUGUGCGGGGAAUCGACCCCCUGCGUGCCGGAGCUAACGCGUUAAGCGUGCCGCCUGGGGAGUACGGUCGCAAGAUUAAAACUCAAAGAAAUUGACGGGGACCCGCACAAGCGGUGGAGUAUGUGGCUUAAUUCGAUGCAACGCGAAGAACCUUACCUGGGCUUGACAUGUAAUGAACAACAUGUGAAAGCAUGCGACUCUUCGGAGGCGUUACACAGGUGCUGCAUGGCCGUCGUCAGCUCGUGUCGUGAGAUGUUGGGUUAAGUCCCGCAACGAGCGCAACCCCUGUUGCCAGUUACCAGCACGUGAAGGUGGGGACUCUGGCGAGACUGCCCAGAUCAACUGGGAGGAAGGUGGGGACGACGUCAGGUCAGUAUGGCCCUUAUGCCCAGGGCUGCACACGUACUACAAUGCCCAGUACAGAGGGGGCCGAAGCCGCGAGGCGGAGGAAAUCCUAAAAACUGGGCCCAGUUCGGACUGUAGGCUGCAACCCGCCUACACGAAGCCGGAAUCGCUAGUAAUGGCGCAUCAGCUACGGCGCCGUGAAUACGUUCCCGGGUCUUGUACACACCGCCCGUCACAUCAUGGAAGCCGGUCGCACCCGAAGUAUCUGAAGCCAACCGCAAGGAGGCAGGGUCCUAAGGUGAGACUGGUAACUGGGAUG
rnacentral:rRNA from 1 species